rnacentral:rRNA from 1 species
CCUACGGGAGGCAGCAGUGGGGAAUAUUGCACAAUGGGGGAAACCCUGAUGCAGCGACGCCGCGUGAGUGAAGAAGUAAUUCGUUAUGUAAAGCUCUAUCAGCAGGGAAGAAAAUGAAGGUACCUGAGGCAGAAGCUAUGGCUAACGACGUAACAGAAGCGGCGGUAACACGGAGGGGGCAAGCGUUAUCCGGAUUUACUGGGUGUAAAGGGAGCGUAGACGGGAGUGCAAGUCUGGAGUGAAAGGCGGGGGCUCAACCCCCGGACUGCUGUGGAAACUGUACGGCUGGAGUGCAGUAGAGGUAAGUGGAAUUCCUAGUGUAGCGGUGAAAUGCGUAGAUAUUAGGAAGAACUCCGGUGGCGAAGGCGGCUUACUGGACUGUAACUGACGUUGAUGCUCGAAAGCGUGGGGAGCAAACAGGAUUAGAUACCCGAGUAGUC